rnacentral:rRNA from 1 species
AAUAAGACGCAAGACCGUGAGGUGGAGCAAAACUUAUAAAACCUAUCUCAGUUCGGAUUGUAGGCUGCAACUCGCCUACAUGAAGCUGGAGUUGCUAGUAAUCGCGAAUCAGAAUGUCGCGGUGAAUACGUUCCCGGGCCUUGUACACACCGCCCGUCACACCAUGAGAGCUGGUAACACCCGAAGUCCGUGAGGCAACCGUAAGGAGCCAGCGGCCGAAGGUGGGAUUAGUGAUUGGGGUGAAGUCGUAACAAGGUAGCCGUAGGAGAACCUGCGGCUGGAUCACCUCCUUU